rnacentral:rRNA from 1 species
GAUAAACGCUGGCGGCGUGCCUAAUACAUGCAAGUCGAGCGAACGGACGAGAAGCUUGCUUCUCUGAUGUUAGCGGCGGACGGGUGAGUAACACGUGGAUAACCUACCUAUAAGACUGGGAUAACUUCGGGAAACCGGAGCUAAUACCGGAUAAUAUUUUGAACCGCAUGGUUCAAAAGUGAAAGACGGUCUUGCUGUCACUUAUAGAUGGAUCCGCGCUGCAUUAGCUAGUUGGUAAGGUAACGGCUUACCAAGGCAACGAUGCAUAGCCGACCUGAGAGGGUGAUCGGCCACACUGGAACUGAGACACGGUCCAGACUCCUACGGGAGGCAGCAGUAGGGAAUCUUCCGCAAUGGGCGAAAGCCUGACGGAGCAACGCCGCGUGAGUGAUGAAGGUCUUCGGAUCGUAAAACUCUGUUAUUAGGGAAGAACAUAUGUGUAAGUAACUGUGCACAUCUUGACGGUACCUAAUCAGAAAGCCACGGCUAACUACGUGCCAGCAGCCGCGGUAAUACGUANGUGGGCAGCGUUAUCCGGAAUUAUUGNNGCGUAAGCGCGCGUAGGCGGUUUUUUAAGUCUGAUGUNGAAGCCACGGCUCAACCGUGGAGGGUCAUUGGAAACUGGAAAACUUGAGUGCAGAAGAGGAAAGUGGAAUUCCAUGUGUAGCGUGAAAUGCGCAGAGAUAUGGAGGAACCACAGUGGCCGAGGGCGACUUUCUGGUCUGUAACUGACGCUGAUGUGCGAAAGCGUGGGGAUCAAACAGGAUUAGAUACCCUGGUAGUCCCACGCCGUAAACGAUGAGUGCUAAGUGUUAGGGGGUUUCCGCCCCUUAGUGCUGCAGCUAACGCAUUAAGCACUCCGCCUGGGGAGUACGACCGCAAGGUUGAAACUCAAAGGAAUUGACGGGGACCCGCACAAGCGGUGGAGCAUGUGGUUUAAUUCGAAGCAACGCGAAGAACCUUACCAAAUCUUGACAUCCUUUGACAACUCUAGAGAUAGAGCCUUCCCCUUCGGGGGACAAAGUGACAGGUGGUGCAUGGUUGUCGUCAGCUCGUGUCGUGAGAUGUUGGGUUAAGUCCCGCAACGAGCGCAACCCUUAAGCUUAGUUGCCAUCAUUAAGUUGGGCACUCUAAGUUGACUGCCGGUGACAAACCGGAGGAAGGUGGGGAUGACGUCAAAUCAUCAUGCCCCUUAUGAUUUGGGCUACACACGUGCUACAAUGGACAAUACAAAGGGCAGCGAAACCGCGAGGUCAAGCAAAUCCCAUAAAGUUGUUCUCAGUUCGGAUUGUAGUCUGCAACUCGACUACAUGAAGCUGGAAUCGCUAGUAAUCGUAGAUCAGCAUGCUACGGUGAAUACGUUCCCGGGUCU